UACGUAGGUGACCAGCGUUGUCCGGAUUUACUGGGCGUAAAGAGCGCGCAGGCGGUCGUUCAAGUCGAGUGUGAAAGCCCCCGGCUCAACUGGGGAGGGUCAUUCGAUACUGAUCGACUCGAAGGCAGGAGAGGGAAGCGGAAUUCCCGGUGUAGUGGUGAAAUGCGUAGAUAUCGGGAGGAAUACCAGUGGCGAAGGCGGCUUCCUGGCCUGUUCUUGACGCUGAGGCGCGAAAGCUAGGGGAGCAAACGGG
rnacentral:rRNA from 1 species